GCGGCGGUAGUUAAGUUGGUUAUAACGCCGGCCUGUCACGCCGGAGACCGCGAGUUCGAGUCUCGUCCGCCGCUCCA
rnacentral:tRNA from 1 species